rnacentral:sRNA from 1 species
UGUCUGUCUUUUUUCAGUUCUUCCGCUAACAGAACUCUUCUUCCAGUCAGGAGACUUUCUAAAAGCUUCUUGUCAUCGCCGAUUUCAUCAAGGACAUCUUU